AAGUCGUAACAAGGUUUCCGUAGGUGAACCUGCGGAAGGAUCAUUAUUACGUUAUCCAACGUCAAACCCAAUUGUGAAUUGUGUUUAUCGGAGUUUCGUGGUUUGGUUAGAGUGUUCAUGUCCAACUUCGUUGUUGUGGACUCUAACUAAAUCCUUGACGAAAGUCAAAACUCUGUUAAGAAAUUCCCGUCAUGAACAAUUUCGCCAAUUUUAACUUUUAACCCCAUGUACAAAAUUUGAACUAAUCUUUGUUCAAAGACUUAAGUGUCUUUGGAUCAAAUAACCGAAAUUAAGAAAACAACUCUUAACAACGGAUAUCUUGGUUCUC
rnacentral:misc_RNA from 1 species